UAGGGAAUCUUCGGCAAUGGACGGAAGUCUGACCGAGCAACGCCGCGUGAGUGAAGAAGGCUUUCGGAUCGUAAAGCUCUGUUGUUAGAGAAGAACGUUGGUAGGAGUGGAAAAUCUACCAAGUGACGGUAACUAACCAGAAAGGGACGGCUAACUACGUGCCAGCAGCCGCGGUAAUACGUAGGUCCCGAGCGUUGUCCGGAUUUAUUGGGUGUAAAGCGAGCGCAUGCGGUUCUUUAAGUCUGAAGUUAAAGGCAGUGGCUUAACCAUUGUACGCUUUGGAAACUGGAGGACUUGAGUGCAGAAGGGGAGAGUGGAAUUACAUGUGUAGCGGUGAAAUGCGUAGAUAUAUGGAGGAACACCGGUGGCGAAAGCGGCUCUCUGGUCUGUAACUGACGCUGAGGCUCGAAAGCGUGGGGAGCAAACAGG
rnacentral:rRNA from 1 species